rnacentral:misc_RNA from 1 species
AACGCAACUUGCGCUCAUUGGUAUUCCAAUGAGCACACCUGUUUCAGUAUCAAAACAAACCCUCUAUCCAACUUUUGUUGAAUAGGAUUAUUGGGGGCCUCUCGAUCUGUAUUGAUCUUGAAACCCUUGAAAUAUACUAAGGCCUGAACUUGUUUAAUGCCUGAACUUUUUUUUAAUAUAAAGGAAAGCUCUUGUAAUUGACUUUGAUGGGGCCUCCCAAAUAAAUCUCUUUAAAUUUGAUCUGAAAUCAGGUGGGAUUACCCGCUGAACUUAA